UUGCUUUGGCAGUAAGUGAACUAAAAUUUGAACAAUACAGAGAAGAUUAGGAUGGCCCCUGCACCAAGUAUGACACCAAAGUUUGUGAAGCAUUCCAUACUAUU
ensembl:snRNA U6 U6 spliceosomal RNA